rnacentral:rRNA from 1 species
CGGGGGGAGCAAGCGUUGUUCGGAUUUACUGGGCGUAAAGGGCGGGUAGGCGGCCACUGCAAGUCGGUUGUGAAAUCUCCGGGCUUAACUCGGAAAGGUCAAUCGAUACUGCAGGGCUAGAGUGCAGAAGGGGCAACUGGAAUUCUCGGUGUAGCGGUGAAAUGCGUAGAUAUCUGGAGGAACACCGGUGGCGAAGGCGGCAUCCUGGACCGAUACUGACGCUGAUGAGCGAAAGCCAGGGGAGCAAACGGGA